rnacentral:rRNA from 1 species
GUGAACGCUGGCGGUAGGCCUAACACAUGCCAGUAGCACGGCAGCACAGUAAGAGCUUGCUCUUACGGGUGGCGAGUGGCGGACGGGUGAGGAAUACAUCGGAAUCUACUUUUUCGUGGGGGAUAACGUAGGGAAACUUACGCUAAUACCGCAUACGACCUACGGGUGAAAGCAGGGGAUCUUCGGACCUUGCGCGAUUGAAUGAGCCGAUGUCGGAUUAGCUAGUUGGCGGGGUAAAGGCCCACCAAGGCGACGAUCCGUAGCUGGUCUGAGAGGAUGAUCAGCCACACUGGAACUGAGACACGGUCCAGACUCCUACGGGAGGCAGCAGUGGGGAAUAUUGGACAAUGGGCGCAAGCCUGAUCCAGCCAUACCGCGUGGGUGAAGAAGGCCUUCGGGUUGUAAAGCCCUUUUGUUGGGAAAGAAAAGCAGCAGGUUAAUACCCCGCUGUUCUGACGGUACCCAAAGAAUAAGCACCGGCUAACUUCGUG